UACGUAGGGUGCGAGCGUUGUCCGGAUUUAUUGGGCGUAAAGAGCUCGUAGGCGGUUGGGCAAGUCGGGUGUGAAAACUCAGGGCUCAACUCUGAGACGCCACUCGAUACUGCUCUGACUCGAGUCCGGUAGGGGAGCGUGGAAUUCCCGGUGUAGCGGUGAAAUGCGUAGAUAUCGUGAGGAAGGCCAGUGGCGAAGGCGGGUCUCUGGACAGGUCCUGACACUGAGGCACGAAGGCUAGGGGAGCAAACGGG
rnacentral:rRNA from 1 species